rnacentral:lncRNA from 1 species
GUUCAUUCACUUUUUUUUUUGGAUUCCAUGUAUCGCAGCCAGAAAGUUGUUGUUUAAAGACUGGAAGAACCCCAGAUGCCUGUGUUUCUUCAACACUCUGCUGCACUGUCUGCUUCCUGUAGAUUUUGAAUUCCUGUGAAGGACCUGAAGAAUCGAGGCGUAUUUCACCUUUUUUCCACUGUAUGGUGCCAACUGGUUGUUUAUUGAAAUGACAUAAUCUACACUAGAUAACAAUACACAUCCUCUUGUACACACAGGAGGAGGACAGCUGUCUGUAAUAAGGUUGUUUACACAAGUGGGAAGAUGAAACUCAGUUUCCACAUUGACAUCACCUCAGAUGUUUUCCUGAUACCAGAAUGUCUGGCACGUGCGAUGGUCGAUACAGCUCCCAGUGAAUUCAGUUCUUCCACAAGAACACUUCUAACACUGUAA